UAGAUAAGACAUUUGGUCUAAGUCCAGGGUUCUACUGGCAGACAGUCGAAUCUCAAGAGAAUGUUUGUAAUGGGAGAGAUUCCAACCUGGAGCUGCACACAGAGGUAUCAGUGGCUCUUGGGUGUAGAGCUUUCUUCCUGGAUCCUCUCAUUACACACUACACCCUCCUGCUUGUUCUCAACUCUGGAUUGGAUGUGUGCGGUCUGCGGCUCCUUCAUUCAGCACAGAAGUUACAGAAUGACAGCACUGGUGCUGAGCCAGUCCUCCAGAGCAUUGAUCCAGAGAUCUGCCGUCCUGUUCUUGCCCUGGCUGUUCGAGGCCCUCAUGCCCACUCAGUUUUCCGAGAUUUAACCAGGUCCUUGGAUCUUUUUCUGCCAAGGGAGUCCACUUCUGGAAGUCAGCAACGUCAUUUCCUGUCCUCCCCUCAACUAGCCAGUCAAGUCCACAGAGAGCUGUGCUUGUGGUUCUCAGGGAGACUUCCUGGAAAAAAAGCCCAGAAGCACAACCGGCCU